rnacentral:pre_miRNA from 1 species
GUAGUACUCCCUCCGUUCGGAAUUACUUGUCACAAAAAUGGAUGUAUCUACAACUAAAAUACAUCUAGAUACAUUCAUUUCUUGGACGAGUAAUUCCGAAUGGAGGGAGUAUGUA